GCUGGGCAUGGUGGCGCGCGCCUGUAGUCCCAGCUACUUGGGAGGUUGAGGUGGGAGGAUUGCUUGAGUCCAGGAGUUCUGGGCUGCAGUGUGCUAUGCCGAUCGGGUAUCCGCACUAAGUUUGGCAUCAAUAUGGUGACCUCCUGGGAGCGGGGGACCACCAGGUUGCCUAAGGAGGGGUGAACCGGCCCAGGUCGGAAACGGAACAGGUCAAAACUCCCAUGCUGAUCAGUAGUGGGAUCGCGCCUGUGAAUAGCCACUGCACUCCAGCCUGGGCAAUAUAGUGAGACCCUGUCUCU
rnacentral:SRP_RNA from 1 species